rnacentral:rRNA from 1 species
UACGUAGGGUGCGAGCGUUGUCCGGAUUUAUUGGGCGUAAAGAGCUCGUAGGCGGCUCGUCGCGUCGACCGUGAAAACCCGCGGCUUAACUGCGGGCUUGCGGUUGAUACGGGCGGGCUAGAGUUCGGUAGGGGAGACUGGAAUUCCUGGUGUAGCGGUGAAAUGCGCAGAUAUCAGGAGGAACACCAGUGGCGAAGGCGGCUUCCUGGCCUGUUCUUGACGCUGAGGCGCGAAAGCGUGGGGAGCGAACAGG